GUACAUGCCUACAACAUAGCAGUAAUGCAUUGGAUCCCAUUAGAACUCCGUAGUUAAGUGCACUCGAGCUAGAGUAGUACUGGGAUGGGUGACUGCCUAGGAAGUCCUAGUGGUUUACAUG
rnacentral:rRNA from 1 species